rnacentral:rRNA from 1 species
UACGUAGGGUGCAAGCGUUGUCCGGAAUUAUUGGGCGUAAAGAGCUCGUAGGCGGUUUGUUGCGUCGGCUGUGAAAACCCGGGGCUCAACCCCGGGCCUGCAGCCGAUACGGGCAGACUAGAGUUCGGCAGGGGAGACUGGAAUUCCUGGUGUAGCGGUGAAAUGCGCAGAUAUCAGGAGGAACACCGGUGGCGAAGGCGGGUCUCUGGGCCGAUACUGACGCUGAGGCGCGAAGGCGUGGGGAGCAAACAGG